rnacentral:rRNA from 1 species
CAGUAGCCGCGGUAAUACGAAGGGUGCAAGCGUUACUCGGAAUUACUGGGCGUAAAGCGUGCGUAGGUGGUGGUUUAAGUCCGUUGUGAGAGCCCUGGGCUCAACCUGGGAAUUGCAGUGGAUACUGGGUCACUAGAGUGUGGUAGAGGAUAGUGGAAUUUCCGGUGUAGCAGUGAAAUGCGUAGAGAUCGGAAGGAACAUCUGUGGCGAAGGCGACUAUCUGGGCCAACACUGACACUGAGGCACGAAAGCGUGGGGAGCAAACAGGAUUAGAUACCCGAGUAGUCCCUGUCUCUUAUAA